GAGACGGUGAACGUGGACGUAAACACAACAAACUGAAAUAACGCUUGAAUGACUGUUCAAUGCGCUCUCCGAAGAGGCACAAGGUUAGUCUUCAUAGCAUAUUGUACUGUUAAUUUGUGUUUUAUACUUUAAUACAAUUUUGUAAUGUCACAACAACUUUUAAUACUUGCUAAGCUGAGUUUGUGAGUGUUAACCUACGUGAAUGAACGUUAAGCUAGGCUAAUGCUUGAAGCUACAUGCCUGUGUAGUUAAUGUAUUUUUGUGCUUUAUGCAUAGCUCUCGCGGUGAUGUGGAGAUUCGCAAUAAAUCAAAAAUCAACGGUUCAAGCCUUUGACCAUCUUUCGGUGGUGGUGGUGGUGGUGGUGGGUGGAGAUGCUACAUUCACCAGAAAACUCAGCUUUAAUGAUCCACCUGCUGGAGGAAACGAGCAGCAACAAAGGGUCACAGGGGGCUGGAGCCUAUCCCAGCUGACAAGAGUGCGAGAGGCGGAGUUCAACCUCCACUGGUCGUCUGUCAGUCGCAGGGACGACACACAAAAACAGACAAUCACACACACCUAGAGGCAAUGUUGAGCAGUCAGUGAACCCAAUGUGCAUGUUUUUGGGCUUAUGGGAAGAGACUGGAGGAAACACAGGGAGAACAAACUCCACACAAAAGGGCCCAGACUGGGAUUUGAACCCGAACCCUCUUGCUGUGAGGCAGCAGUGCUAACCACUGAACCACUCUGCUGCCCCCUUUCAAUCUCAAAUUCGGUACUUAACAGUAAAGUUGAUUGGCCUAGAAAACACAGUUUUACUUAAGCUUUUUUGCUCUUAGUAGCAGGAGUUGAAAUUGAGGAUUGGUACGAAAGUUGUGCGAGCAAGUCUUGUCUGGAACGUCUCCCAAAGGUGUCUUAUUUACCUGUUGUGUCCACUGGUAGGCCUACUUUCAGGAAUAAAUAAGGUGUUCAGAGGUGUGUGUGUGUGUGUGUGAAGUCAUGUAGAGGAGAGAUAGAUGGAUGGAAGUCAUGUAAUUG